AUUGAACGCUGGCGGCAGGCCUAACACAUGCAAGUCGAGCGCGCGGCGGACGGGUGAGUAAAGUCUGGGGAACUGUCUGAUGGAGAGGGAUAACACCAGGAAACGGUAGCUAAAACAGCAUACCACAAGAGGUGCCCAGAUGGGAUUAGCUAGUAGGUGGGGUAACGGCUCACCUAGGCGACGAUCCCUAGCUGGUCUGAGAGGAUGACCAGCCACACUGGAACUGAGACACGGUCCAGACUCCUACGGGAGGCAGCAGUGGGGAAUAUUGCACAAUGGGCGCAAGCCUGAUGCAGCCAUGCCGCGUGUGUGAAGAAGGCCUUCGGGUUGUAAAGCACUUUCAGCGGGGAGGCGUUACCCGCAGAAGAAGCACCGGCUAACUCCGUGCCAGCAGCCGCGGUAAUUC
rnacentral:rRNA from 1 species